rnacentral:rRNA from 1 species
GAAAGUAAUGAAGGGCGUACGGUGGAUGCCUAGGCUCUUACAGGCGAUGAAGGACGUGAUAAGCUGCGAAAAGCCGCGGUGAGGCGCAAAUGGCCCUUGACCCGCGGAUCUCCGAAUGGGACAACCCAAUAUCUUGAAGAGAUAUUAUCCCGCCGGUGCGGGAGGCGAACGCGGGGAACUGAAACAUCUUAGUACCCGCAGGAAAAGAAAAUAAAGAAUGAUUCCCCCAGUAGUGGCGAGCGACCGGGGAAGAGCCCAAACCGACGUUGUCUCGGCAUCGUCGGGGUUGUAGGACCGCGCCAUCGCAAGAAAGGCCGUGAGUGGAAGCGACUGGAAAGCCGCGCCAUAGAGGGUGACAGCCCCUUACACGAAGCAGCCUGAAGCGUAGCGGACUCCUGAGUAGCGCGGGACACGAGUAAUCCUGUGUGAAUCCGCCGGGCCCAUCCGGCAAGGCUAAAUACUCGUAAGAGACCGAUAGUGAACCAGUACCGUGAGGGAAAGGUGAAAAGGACCCCUUGCAGGGGAGUGAAACAGUUCCUGAAACCGUACGCCUACAAGCGGUCGGAGCAUCUUGAAUGAUGUGACGGCGUGCCUUUUGCAUAAUGAACCUACGAGUUGCCGUCACCAGCGAGGUUAAGUGCGACGACGCACCGAGCCGCAGCGGAAGCGAGUCUUAAAAGGGCGCGAUAGUUGGUGGAGGCAGACGCGAAACCGAGUGAUCUACACUUGUCCAGGAUGAAGUCCCGGUAACACGGGAUGGAGGUCCGCACCAAUAAGCGUUGAAAAGCUUCUGGAUGAGGUGAGUGUAGGAGUGAAAGGCCAAUCAAACUCGGAGAUAGCUCGUACUCCCCGAAAGGCAUUUAGGUGCCGCCUGUGGCGUUCCCGACGUGAGGUAGAGCGACUGAUAGGAUGCGAGGGCUUCACCGCCUAUCAAGUCCUGACAAACUCCGAAUGCACGUCGGCCAAGCCAUGGAGUAAGGGCAUGGGUGCUAAGGUCCGUGCCCGAGAGGAGAAGAAUCCAGACCACCGGCUAAGGUCCCGAAAUACUGGUUAAGUUAGACUAACGCAGUCCGGCCCCCAAGACAGCUAGGAUGUUGGCUUGGAAGCAGCCAUUCAUUCAAAGAGUGCGUAACAGCUCACUAGUCGAGGAGCUGGGCGUGGAUAAUAAUCGGGUAUAAAACCAGUUACCGAAGCCGUGGGAUGCUCAAGCAUCGGUAGGGGAGCAUUGCAUGCGGCUUGGAAGGCGGGGCGCGAGCCCCUCUGGAGCGCAUGGAAACGCAAAUGUAGGUAUAAGUAACGACAAGGGGGGUGGGAUGCCCCCCCGCCGAAAGACCAAGGUUUCCUGAACAACGCUAAUCGGUUCAGGGUCAGUCGGGUCCUAAGCAUAAGCCGUAUGGCGAUGGCGAUGGACGAAACGGUUAAUAUUCCGUUACUGUCUUGGUGUGUGACGCGGCGACGGAGUAGUGACACGGCCGCCUCCUGACGGAAAAGGGGGUUGAAGCGCAAAGGUGUCGAGGAAGGCAGGCAAAUCCACCUUCCGAGCCGAAGCGCGAUAGUACGCCGGGCCCUUUUGGGCAAGGCGAUAGUGCCGGUAAUCAGACUUCCAAGAAAACCCGCUAAACUUCAGCACCAAGUCACCCGUACUCCAAACGGACACACGUGGUCGGGUAGAAUAUACUAAGGCGCUUGGGAGAUUCACGGUUAAGGAACUAGGCAAAUUGACCCCGUACCUUCGGAAUAAGGGGUCCUCGCUUUAGCGAGGCGCAGAGAAUAGGUCCAGGCAACUGUUUAACAAAAACACAGGGCUGUGCCAAUUUGAAAGAAGAAGUAUACAGCCUGACACCUGCCCGGUGCCGGAAGGUUAAGAGGAGAGCUCAUCAGCGAUGAGAAGGCUUGAAUUGAAGCCCCGGUAAACGGCGGCCGUAACUAUAACGGUCCUAAGGUAGCGAAAUUCCUUGUCGGGU